UGAGGAAUAUUGCGCAAUGGGGGAAACCCUGACGCAGCGACGCCGCGUGGGUGACGAAGGCCUUCGGGUCGUAAAACCCUUUUGGCAGGGACGAGUGAGGACGGUACCUGUUGAAUAAGUCUCGGCGAACUACGUGCCAGCAGCCGCGGUAAAACGUAGGAGGCGAGCGUUAUCCGGAUUCACUGGGCGUAAAGCGCACGUAGGCGGUCGGGUAAGUCGGAUGUUAAAGCCCUUGGCUCAACUAGGGGAGGUCAUUCGAUACUGCUCGGCUUGAGGAUGAGAGAGGAAAGUGGAAUUCCCGGUGUAGCGGUGGAAUGCGUAGAGAUCGGGAGGAACACCAGUGGCGAAAGCGGCUUUCUGGCUCAUUCCUGACGCUGAGUGUGCGAAAGCGUGGGUAGCA
rnacentral:rRNA from 1 species